UGCAAUGCUGCAGAGAUCUUUCUGAGGCCAGCAGAAUAAAGCAUUCAGAAGCUUUCUGAAGCAACGUGCAGACUUCGUUAGGGAAACAAAACGAAGCAGUUUGUCCCCGAGGCGCAUGGUGGCAACCCAAAUGCAGCUGCCAUUUUCUGGGUGGGAUAAAAUGGCAGCUCUUUUCAGAAUCACACCAUGCAGCCGUGCAAAGAAGCUAGUCAUACAGUGGUCUGGAAGACCUCAGAGUUCUUCUAAAGUUCUGCUUCCCAUCAUGGAAAUCUCACCAUAAUAUAUGAUGAUGAUGGAGGAGGAGGAAGAGGAAGAGGAGGAAGAAAAGAUGAUCUUGUAUUUAGUGAUAUCUGAAGUUCUUUCCAACCCUUACAUUCUAUAUUCCUAUGAAGUGUGGCAGGGCGAAUAUCAAGUGGUAGAGCACUGUAAAAGCAGCAAGAAAGAACAAGAAGUUAUAAGCAGCAAAAUCAUUCACCCUGGGAAGAAAACAAAGAUUUAUUGCAUGAUAUCAACAGAACUACUGCAAACUUACCAAUAAAAAUAUGAGAAAUUGUAUAAAGGUAUAAGGUUCCAUUAAUCAUUUUCACUAUGACCCUGUAUCUGAUUUUCCAUUUGAAAAUCAUUUGUCUUCAUCAGCAAGAUAAUUUGCAAAUGGAUAUAAUUCACAAUUAAAUGUCUAUGAGCAGCUGGUUGUUCUGAUUGACAUUGGU